rnacentral:rRNA from 1 species
AGGAUAAACGCUGGCGGCGUGCCUAACACAUGCAAGUCGCACGAGAAAGGGGAGCAAUCCCUGAGUACAGUGGCGCACGGGUGAGUAACACGUGAAUCAUCUACCUCCGAGUGGGGAAUAACUGAGAGAAAUCUUAGCUAAUACCGCAUAAUACCCACGGGUCAAAGCAGUAAUGCGCUUGGAGAGGAGUUCGCGGCAGAUUAGUUAGUUGGCGGGGUAAUGGCCCACCAAGACGAUGAUCUGUA